rfam:Triticum urartu cultivar G1812 contig898624, whole genome shotgun sequence.
GCUGGAAUAGCUCAGUUGGCUAGAGCAUGUGGCUGUUAACCACAAGGUCGGAGGUUCAAGCCCUCUUUUUAGCG